rnacentral:rRNA from 2 species
CGGUGAAAUCGUAGAUAUUAGGAGGAACACCAGUGGCGAAGGCGGCUUUCUGGACUGUAACUGACGCUGAGGCGCGAAAGCCAGGGGAGCGAACGGGAUUAGAUACCCCGGUAGUCCUGGCUGUAAACGAUGGGUACUAGGUGUUGGGGGUAUCGACCCCUCCAGUGCCGCAGUUAACGCAAUAAGUACCCCGCCUGGGGAGUACGGCCGCAAGGUUGAAACUCAAAGGAAUUGACGGGGGCCCGCACAAGCGGCGGAGCAUGUGGUUUAAUUCG